UCUUUGUCUUCAGUCUGUGUGGAUGCAGUAUUAUAGAGAAACAGUGUCUCAUCCUGACUUCAGCUCUGAAAUCAAACCCAUCACACCUGAGAGAACUGGACCUCAGUGUGAAUAAAAUAAAAACCACAGGAUUGAAUCACUUAUGUGAUGUACUGAAGGAUUCACACUGUAAACUGGAGAGAUUGAGUCUAAAGGACUGUGGCAUUACAGAUGUUUCUUCUUUAACUCAGUCUUUGACAAACACAAAAGCACUGCAUUUUUUAAAAGAGCUUGAUCUGAGAAAUAAUAUGACAAGAGACUCAAAGCAGCAACUCAUAGAUGUACUACGAGACUCAAACUGCAAUCUGAGGUGGGCGAUUCCUUGUGUUAAUUUGCCGGAGUCUGCGAUUGGUUCUCUUCCUUACCGGAC